AUCAAAAAUGGGGAGAGCCUCAGGUUGGUAAAGUUUGAGAACCGCUGAACUAGAAAAUAUAUUAAUCUGUCAUUUUUAAAAGAAGAAAGCCAAGGAAAGUGUGGGCCCCUUAAUGAAUGAGGGAGGCAACCUAGUGACUGAGGAUGUGGAAAAAGCUAAUGUACUCAAUGCUUUUUUUGCCUCUGUCUUCACGAACAAGGCCAGCUCCCAGACUGCUGCGCUGGGCAUCACAACAUGGGGAAUAGAUUGGCCAGCCCUCUGAGGAGAAAGAGGUGGUUAGGGACUAUUUAGAAAAGCUGGACGUGCACAAGUCCAUGGGGCCGGAUGAGUUGCAUCCGAGAGUGCUAAAGGAAUUGGCGGCUGUGAUUGCAGAGCCAUUGGCCAUUAUCUUUGAAAACUCGUGGCGAACGGGGGAAGUCCCGGAUGACUGGAAAAAGGCUAAUGUAGUGCCAAUCUUUAAAAAAGGGAAGGAGGAGGAUCCUGGGAACUACAGGCCAGUCAGCCUCACCUCAGUCCCCGGAAAAAUCAUGGAGCAGGUCCUCAAAGAAUCAAUCCUGAAGCACUUACAUGAGAGGAAAGUGAUCAGGAACAGUCAGCAUGGAUUCACCAAGGGAAGGUCAUGCCUGACUAAUCUAAUCGCCUUCUAUGAUGAGAUUACUGGUUCUGUGGAUGAAGGGAAAGCAGUGGAUGUAUUGUUUCUUGACUUUAGCAAAGCUUUUGACACGGUCUCCCACAGUAUUCUUGUCAUCAAGUUAAAGAAGUAUGGGCUGGAUGAAUGCACUAUAACGUGGGUAGAAAGUUGGCUAGAUUGUCGGGCUCAACGGGUAGUGAUCAAUGGCUCCAUGUCUAGUUGGCAGCCGGUGUCCAGUGGAGUGCCCCAGGGGUCGGUCCUGGGGCCGGUUUUGUUCAAUAUCUUCAUAAAUGAUCUGGAGGAUGGUGUGGAUUGCACUCUCAGCAAAUUUGCAGAUGAUACUAAACUGGGAGGAGUGGUAGAUACGCUGGAGGGCAGAGAUAGGAUACAGAGGGACCUAGACAAAUUGGAGAAUUGGGCCAAAAGAAAUCUGAGGUUCAAUAAGGAUAAGUGCAGGGUCCUGCACUUAGGAUGGAAGAACCCAGUGCACAGCUACAGACUAGGGACUGAAUGGCUAGGCAGCAGUUCUGCGGAAAAGGACCUAGGGGUGACAGUGGACGAGAAGCUGGAUAUGAGUCAGCAGUGUGCCCUUGUUGCCAAGAAGGCCAAUGGCAUUUUGGGAUGUAUAAGUAGGGGCAUAGCGAGCAGAUCGAGGGACGUGAUCGUCCCCCUCUAUUCGACAUUGGUGAGGCCUCAUCUGGAGUACUGUGUCCAGUUUUGGGCCCCACGUUACAAGAAGGAUGUGGAAAAAUUGGAAAGAGUCCAGCAAAGGGCAAUAAAAAUUAUUAGGGGUCUGGAACACAUAUGAGGAGAGGCUGAGGGAACUGGGAUUGUUUAGUCUGCGGAAGAGAAGAAUGAGGGGGGAUUUGAUAGCUGCUUUCAACUACCUGAGAGGUGGUUCCAGAGAGGAUGGUUCUAGACUAUUCUCAGUGGUAGAAGAUGACAGGACAAGGAGUAAUGGUCUCAAGUUGCAGUGGGGGAGGUUUAGGUUGGAUAUUAGGAAAAACUUUUUCACUAGGAGUGUGGUGAAACACUGGAAUGCGUUACCUAGGGAGGUGGUAGAAUCUCCUUCCUUAGAAGUUUUUAAGGUCAGGCUUGACAAAGCCCUGGCUGGGAUGAUUUAAUUGGGGAUUGGUCCUGCUUUGAGCAGGGGGUUGGACUAGAUGACCUCCUGAGGUCCCUUCCAACCCUGAUAUUCUAUGAUUCUAUGAUAUGAAAUGGUCUGUCUCUGAGUUGGAGGUAAGCAAAAUAUGGUGGAUAAAAAUUAGGAAGUGGAUUUUUUUGUUUAAAUUAAAUACAGGUUUUUAAAAAAUAAACCUAUUUAAAAUUAAAUUAGAAAUUACAACAACCUAUGUUCGUCCUAAUCUUAUUAUAAUCUAUUAAAAUAAUUUAUAUUAAAAUAAUCAUAUUAAGCUGUACAUGUUUGCUGAAGUUUUAAAGAAAGUGAAAGCACUGAACUUUUGGAAGUCAGUGGCUAAGCACCUCUAACUAUUGUUACAAUUAAAGAUCUGAAAGGAUUUCUAUUACAAACUCAUUUUAAGGGAUUAAUUUAUUUUUAAACAUCUGCAGAGGCUGAAGCAUGGGGUUUGCUGUUUGUAAGUUUAUAAAUGGAGAAAAAUUGAUCAGUAUUUCCAAUUAUUUUGCUUCAGGGUGGACUGGUUUAAAUGAAAGCAAUUUAAAUCACUGAUUUUUAAUCAUGAUUUAAAUAAGCAGACAGGAAACCUUGAUUUUAAUAAUCAGUUUUAAUCUUGUUUUGUAUUUGUACUUUUUAGGUAUUUUCCUAAAGAGAGGCUGUUUCCCCUGGUUACACUGGUGUGCUGAUGUGCUUCAGACAUGUAGGAGUGAUAAAAUCAACGUAUGCAUUCCCUAAACUCUCCAGGAAAGAUUUGUGAAGUGAAUUUAAAAAUCCUAAAUGGAUGAAAGAAGGCAUCACUUCACUAACUCUUUGACUCUGAAAUACAGUAUCAAAGUGCAACUCCCCAGUCUGCUAUCUGGAUGCUGUGAAGUGGAUGAAGAAGUUGUAGCUGGUUAUGUCUGAAUCCUUGAAAGACUUGAAUAUCAAAAGAUCUACGGAGUAAUUUAUUUAGGUAUGGUGUGAGUCCCGAGAACAUAAUUCUCUAUGGUCAGAGUAUUGGAACUGUCCCAACAGUGGACCUGGCAUCUCGGUAUGAGUGUGCAGCUGUAAUCCUUCAUUCUCCUUUGAUGUCUGGAUUACGGGUAGCUUUUCCUGACACCAGGAAAACAUAUUGCUUUGAUGCUUUCCCAAGGAGGUACGAAGAUAUAAAGAGAGACCAAAACAUUUGGAUGCUAACAUCUGUUCCAGGAAUCCUAAACUGUAUCAAACACUGAGUUGUAAAAGCAAGUGAAAUUUACAUUCUAAGAGUGAAAAUCAGUGACCAGAGAGCACCCUUCAGUGUUGCAGUUGUUUUUGCAACACUUACAAAUGUUUGUAGGUGGGAUGUCCACAAGGAUUCCAUGUUCAGAGCAGAAACUGCAUCUUCCAGAGCACAAUCAUUCUUUUUUUUUUCCUGAGUGGGGGAGAAAGGUGGAGGCCCAAAUUCCACACAUUGGAACCUCAAAGAAUCAAUUUUGUGGGGCUACUGUGAUAAAGAAGCCAGAUGUAUUUUAACUCCUACUGCUUGAAUAAUUAAAACUUCAUACUAAUGAACACACUUUAUCUAAUUUGCAUCUGAAAAUUGCUUUAAUAAACCAGUACAUAUUACAACAUUUUGAUAUAGUUUUACUACACUUUUAAAGAUGUAAGUGUAAGAAAAUAUCUUAAACUAGUGGCUCUCAACCUUUCCAGACUACUGUAUCCCUUUAGGAGUCUGAUUUAUCUUGCGUACCCCAAAUUU